rnacentral:rRNA from 1 species
GCGGCAUGCUUUCCAUGCNAGUCGGACGGCAGCACAGAGAAGCUUGCUUCUUGGGUGGCGAGUGGCGAACGGGUGGGUAAUAUAUCGGAACGUACCGAGUAAUGGGGGAUAACUAAUCGAAAGAUUAGCUAAUACCGCAUAUUCUCUGAGGAGGAAAGCAGGGGACCUUCGGGCCUUGCGUUAUUCGAGCGGCCGAUAUCUGAUUAGCUAGUUGGUGGGGUAAAGGCCUACCAAGGCGACGAUCAGUAGCGGGUCUGAGAGGAUGAUCCGCCACACUGGGACUGAGACACGGCCCAGACUCCUACGGGAGGCAGCAGUGGGGAAUUUUGGACAAUGGGCGCAAGCCUGAUCCAGCCAUGCCGCGUGUCUGAAGAAGGCCUUCGGGUUGUAAAGGACUUUUGUCAGGGAAGAAAAGGCUGUUGCUAAUAUCGACAGCUGAUGACGGUACCUGAAGAAUAAGCACCGGCUAACUACGUGCCAGCAGCCGCGGUAAU